GAUGAACGCUAGCGGCAGGCCUAACACAUGCAAGUCGAGGGGUAGAACACUUCGGUGUUUGAGACCGGCGCACGGGUGCGUAACGCGUAUGCAAUCUACCUUAUACAGGGGAAUAGCCCAGAGAAAUUUGGAUUAAUGCCCCAUAGUGUUAUAGAAUCGCAUGGUUUUAUAACUAAAGUUCCAACGGUAUAAGAUGAGCAUGCGUCCCAUUAGUUAGUUGGUAAGGUAACGGCUUACCAAGACAAUGAUGGGUAGGGGUCCUGAGAGGGAGAUCCCCCACACUGGUACUGAGACACGGACCAGACUCCUACGGGAGGCAGCAGUGAGGAAUAUUGGUCAAUGGGCGCAAGCCUGAACCAGCCAUGCCGCGUGCAGGAAGAAGCAUCUAUGGUGUGUAAACUGCUUUUAAACAGGAAAACACCUCCAGUGGGAGGUCUUGACGGUAUGGUAAGGAAUAAGGAUCGGACUAACUCCGUGCCAGCAGCCGACGUAAA
rnacentral:rRNA from 1 species